AGUGAACGCUGGCGGUAGGCCUAACACAUGCAAGUCGAACGGCAGCACAGUAAGAGCUUGCUCUUACGGGUGGCGAGUGGCGGACGGGUGAGGAAUACAUCGGAAUCUACUUUUUCGUGGGGGAUAACGUAGGGAAACUUACGCUAAUACCGCAUACGACCUGCGGGUGAAAGCAGGGGAUCUUCGGACCUUGCGCGAUUGAAUGAGCCGAUGUCGGAUUAGCUAGUUGGCGGGGUAAAGGCCCACCAAGGCGACGAUCCGUAGCUGGUCUGAGAGGAUGAUCAGCCACACUGGAACUGACACGGUCCAGACUCCUACGGGAGGCAGCAGUGGGGAAUAUUGGACAAUGGGCGCAAGCCUGAUCCAGCCAUACCGCGUGGGUGAAGAAGGCCUUCGGGUUGUAAAGCCCUUUUGUUGGGAAAGAAAAGCAGCAGGUUAAUACCCCGCUGUUCUGACGGUACCCAAAGAAUAAGCACCGGCUAACUUCGUG
rnacentral:rRNA from 1 species